GGCUUGUUAGCUCAGUUGGUAGAGCACUGCACCUGUAUUGCAGAGGUCAUGGGUUCAAAUCCCAUGUAAGGGCCU